rnacentral:rRNA from 1 species
GUUGGUGUUUUUAUCGCACAGGGUCCACCUGUACCCAUUCCGAACACAGAAGUUAAGCUGUGCGGAGCCGAAGAUACUUGUCUGGCGACGGACCGGGAAAAUAGGUCAAUGCCAACC